GAUCUAAUAACUUAACGAAUCGCAUGGCCUUGUGCCGGCGAUGAUUCUUCAAUUAUUUCCCCAUUAUCUUUUUAUGGUAGGAUAAUGGCCUACCAUGGUUUCUACGGGUAACGGGGAAUUAUGGUUCUAUUCCUGAGAAGGAGCCUGAUAAACAGCUACCACCUCCUACGAAGGCAGCAGGCGCGCCAAUUACCCCCUCCCCACACGGGGAGGUAGUGACAAUAAAUACUGAUACAGGGCUCUUUUGGGUCUUGUUGUUGGAAUGAGUACUAUUUAUAUCCCUUAACAAGGAACAAUUGGAGGGCAAGUCUGGUGCCGCCAGCCGCCGUAAUUCCUCCUCCUAUAACGUAUAUUAAAAUUGUUGCAGUUAAAAAACUCGUAGUUGAACCUUGGGGCUGGCUGGCCGGUCCGCCUCACCACGUGCAGUGGUCCGGCCGGCUCUUUCCUCCUGGGGAACCUCCUGCCUUUUUUUAGGUGUGGUGGGGAAACAAGAAUUUUUUUAAGGCGAAUUCCCCGCCGCCAAAUUCAUUUCCCCCUACUAUGAG
rnacentral:rRNA from 1 species